UGAAUGCCUGAUCUUCCUGCCUCUGU
rnacentral:piRNA from 1 species